UGCAACCUGUGAUGCAAACGUACCCAAUUUCCUGAAAUGCAGUGAUUAAUCCAAACACAAUCACCAUCUUUCGGCUGAGGUUGCA
rnacentral:snoRNA from 1 species